rnacentral:lncRNA from 1 species
GUUGGUUUCAACACAUCAAUUUUGAGAGGACACCAACAUUCAGUCCAUAACAGAUGCCUAAUAAGAACCAGAUAUAUUACACCUGGAUCAGCAAAGCUCUGAUCUAUAACCUACUAAAGGUAACCAGGGAACCAUGACCCCACACUUAAUUGCGGAGCCCUCCCCUGCUGCCUGAGCCUGAGCUUGACCUUCAGUAUUUUGCUGUGAUCAUGGGAGUUUAAGGGACCACAUGACUCUACUCCUCCAGCUGGGAUCCAGUCUUGGAGUUUGGUUUCUGUUCUGGUCCAUAUUUUGCUUCUAAGGAGAUAAAUAUUCCAAGUUACCACUAUUUCUUUAAGGAGUACGUCUUGUAUUACCUUGUUCUAGGGACUGGACUUGAUCCUUAAACCCUCAAUCUAGAAUAUCAGGCUCUGCAGCUCAUAGCCAGUUCCUAGAACCUUGUCUCAAUUCCUC